rnacentral:tRNA from 1 species
GCCCUGGUGGCAAAGUAGUUAAGCGCUCUACUGCUAAUCGAAAGGUUGGUGGUUCGAACCCACCCAGAGGCA